GGUGAAGGAUGGGUCCUAUCCAGUAACAGCUGCCACUCACUGAGGGUUUAUCAUGUGCCAGGCUUUGGUCUAAGCACUUUUCAUGUAGUAACUCAUUGAGCCCUCAAUGCAACUCUACCUAUUAUUUCCCAGGACCCGUAUUUAUAACCACUAACCCCCGCUUUCCAUAUUGGUGCGGAAGAUGGGGGAGCAUUCUAGAGAGAAGGCGUCGUAGUUGCGCAGGAGUUGGAGGCUGCCUCACAGAAAGCAGAGGAGAGAGGUGGGAAGUGGCAUGAUUAGAUUUGAGUUUUCAAAGAUCACUUUGGCUGCUGUGUGGACACUGGAAAGUGGGAGAGCAGGGGUGAUGUGAAGAGACCAGACGGGAUACCACUCCUGUCCUCCAGGGUAGGGCUUGGACUAGAGUGGCAGUCCUGGAAAUGGAGACGAAUGGGUGAAUUCAGAUGAGGAAACCAUAUCCCAGGAGGGUGAAGUGGCUUGCCCAUCAUCUCAGAAGCACGACCAGUCUCUCAGCCUCCUGACAUCACAUCCAGCACUCCUACCAUACCACACUGGAAAACUGGAACUGGAGGAAGAGCAAGCACACAGGGAAGAAAAAGGACAAGAAAAGUGAGAGAGUGUGCAAGUGGGAGGAGAGAGAGAGAAAAGCGCAGGGAAGGGUCAAGGAAAAUAGAAGGCAACCAAGAUGGAAUGAGAAGAAAAUGACAGCAGCUGUCAGGGCACCAGUGGCAGCAGUUGGAGCAGCUGCCUGCGCCACCUGAGCCACAGGAACAACGGCAAGGGAAGUGCAGAUGGGCAGGAAGCCACUCUGGGUCAGAGCCAGAAACAUGGAGUGCUGGACAGACUUUGCAAAAGGUGGUGGUGAUGUGCACUGAAGAGGUGCAGAUGGACGGCGCUUGGCCUGGGAAGAUGAAGCUGAUGGGGUGAGGUGAGCCUUUGCUCUUCCAAGCCCCUGUCUGGCCCCCUCAGC
rnacentral:lncRNA from 1 species